CUUAGUGGCGGACGGGUGAGUAACGCGUGAGCAACCUGCCUUUCAGAGGGGGAUAACGUUUGGAAACGAACGCUAAUACCGCAUAAGACCACACUUCCACAUGGGAGAGGGGUCAAAGGAGCAAUCCGCUGAAAGAUGGGCUCGCGUCCGAUUAGAUAGUUGGGGGGGUAACGGCCCACCAAGUCGACGAUCGGUAGCCGGACUGAGAGGUUGAACGGCCACAUUGGGACUGAGACACGGCCCAGACUCCUACGGAAGGCAGCAG
rnacentral:rRNA from 1 species